UUUUGCUAUUAAAUUGCUUCUCCGACGUCAACUGAAUUUAGAAUGAGUUUGGGGGGACUCUGGCGGGCGCUCGUCGGGCCCAGAGGAGGGCCGGCGGCGGUUUGACCCGCUGGCCCGCCAAAGCAACGAUGGUAAGGUACGCAUUGGGUGGGAGUUUCGGGACCGGGGCCCCUAUUCUCAUUAAUGAUCCUUCCGCAGGUUCACCUACGGAAA
rnacentral:misc_RNA from 1 species